CCCGGUGAUCUAGCCAUGGGCAGGUUGAAGGUUGGGUAACACUAACUGGAGGACCGAACCGACUAAUGUUGAAAAAUUAGCGGAUGACUUGUGGCUGGGGGUGAAAGGCCAAUCAAACCGGGAGAUAGCUGGUUCUCCCCGAAAGCUAUUUAGGUAGCGCCUCGUGAAUUCAUCUCCGGGGGUAGAGCACUGUUUCGGCAAGGGGGUCAUCCCGACUUACCAACCCGAUGCAAACUGCGAAUACCGGAGAAUGUUAUCACGGGAGACACACGGCGGGUGCUAACGUCCGUCGUGAAGAGGGAAACAACCCAGACCGCCAGCUAAGGUCCCAAAGUCAUGGUUAAGUGGGAAACGAUGUGGGAAGGCCCAGACAGCCAGGAUGUUGGCUUAGAAGCAGCCAUCAUUUAAAGAAAGCGUAAUAGCUCACUGGUCGAGUCGGCCUGCGCGGAAGAUGUAACGGGGCUAAACCAUGCACCGAAGCUGCGGCAGCGACAUUAUGUGUUGUUGGGUAGGGGAGCGUUCUGUAAGCCUGUGAAGGUGUACUGUGAGGUAUGCUGGAGGUAUCAGAAGUGCGAAUGCUGACAUAAGUAACGAUAAAGCGGGUGAAAAGCCCGCUCGCCGGAAGACCAAGGGUUCCUGUCCAACGUUAAUCGGGGCAGGGUGAGUCGACCCCUAAGGCGAGGCCGAAAGGCGUAGUCGAUGGGAAACAGGUUAAUAUUCCUGUACUUGGUGUUACUGCGAAGGGGGGACGGAGAAGGCUAUGUUGGCCGGGCGACGGUUGUCCCGGUUUAAGCGUGUAGGCUGGUUUUCCAGGCAAAUCCGGAAAAUCAAGGCUGAGGCGUGAUGACGAGGCACUACGGUGCUGAAGCAACAAAUGCCCUGCUUCCAGGAAAAGCCUCUAAGCAUCAGGUAACAUCAAAUCGUACCCCAAACCGACACAGGUGGUCAGGUAGAGAAUACCAAGGCGCUUGAGAGAACUCGGGUGAAGGAACUAGGCAAAAUGGUGCCGUAACUUCGGGAGAAGGCACGCUGAUAUGUAGGUGAAGCGACUUGCUCGUGGAGCUGAAAUCAGUCGAAGAUACCAGCUGGCUGCAACUGUUUAUUAAAAACACAGCACUGUGCAAACACGAAAGUGGACGUAUACGGUGUGACGCCUGCCCGGUGCCGGAAGGUUAAUUGAUGGGGUUAGCGGUAACGCGAAGCUCUUGAUCGAAGCCCCGGUAAACGGCGGCCGUAACUAUAACGGUCCUAAGGUAGCGAAAUUCCUUGUCGGGU
rnacentral:rRNA from 1 species